UACGGAAGGCAGCAGUAGGGAAUCUUCCGCAAUGGACGAAAGUCUGACGGAGCAACGCCGCGUGAACGAUGAAGGCUUUCGGGUCGUAAAGUUCUGUUGUUAGGGAAGAACAAGUACCGGAGUAACUGCCGGUACCUUGACGGUACCUAACCAGAAAGCCACGGCUAACUACGUGCCAGCAGCCGCGGUAAUACGUAGGUGGCAAGCGUUGUCCGGAAUUAUUGGGCGUAAAGCGCGCGCAGGCGGUCCUUUAAGUCUGAUGUGAAAGCCCACGGCUCAACCGUGGAGGGUCAUUGGAAACUGGGGGACUUGAGUGCAGAAGAGGAGAGUGGAAUUCCACGUGUAGCGGUGAAAUGCGUAGAGAUGUGGAGGAACACCAGUGGCGAAAGGCGACUCUCUGGUCUGUAACUGACGCUGAGCGCGAAAGCGUGGGGAGCGAACAGGGAUUAGAUACC
rnacentral:rRNA from 1 species